AUGAGCUCUUUCCCUAGACUGGUGGUUGUACUCUUCCUAGUGCUUGGAGAAAGCAAUGGAGACUCCGUGACUCAGACAGAAGGCCAAAUGACACUCCCUGAAGGAACUUCUCUGACUGUUAACUGUUCCUAUGAAACCAAACAGUACCCAGCCCUGUUCUGGUAUGUGCAGUAUCUGGGAGAAGGUCCUCAGCUCCUCUUUAGAGUCUCAAAGGCCAAUGAUAAGGGAAGCAGCAGAGGAUUUGAAGCCACAUAUGAUAAAGAGACCACCUCCUUCCACCUGCAGAAAGCCUCGGUGCAAGAGUCAGACACAGCUGUGUACUACUGUGCUCUGAGUGACACAGUGGCAGACACUGCAGGGGGAGCUGAACACAAACUCUGA